rnacentral:rRNA from 1 species
CGUCUAUAUACGUAUAGCAUAUCAAUAAGCGGAGGAAAAGAAACUAACAAGGAUUCCCUUAGUAACGGCGAGUGAAGCGGGAAGAGCUCAAAUUUGAAAUCUUCAAGGUUCUACCUUGACGAAUUGUAGUUUAUAGAAGUGUUUUCUGUUAGAUGAGUAGCAAAAGUUCCUUGGAAUAGGACAUCAUAGAGGGUGAGAAUCCCGUAUUUGGUCAUUCCUCCUAGCUUUGUGAUACACUUUCAACGAGUCGGAUUGUUUGGGAAUGCAGUCCAAAAUGGGUGGUAAAUUUCAUCUAAAGCUAAAUAUUGGCGAGAGACCGAUAGCGAACAAGUACCGUGAGGGAAAGAUGAAAAGAACUUUGAAAAGAGAGUUAAACAGUACGUGAAAUUGUCAAAAGGGAAGCGUUUGACACCAGUGUUGUUUUUCCGAAAAUCAAUUACGAAUGGUUUGAUUUUGAUGUAGUUAUGACCUUCAUCAGCUUUCUCACUUUCUUUACGAGUCUUUCUUAAUGCACUUUUCAGGUUAACAAGUCAACAUCAAUUUCUUUUGUUGUAAAAGGGUAUUAGGAAGGUGGCUUUCUUUUCGGAGAAAGUGUUUAUAGCCUUAUGCCUCUACAAUCGGAGAGAUUGAGGUCUGCAGCGUAGAUCCUUCGGGGUUAGAUACACUUGUGCUAAGUUAGUAGCCUUUCAUAGACAACUUGUUGACUAUGAUCAGUCAUGUAGCUUACUCGCUUAUGCUAUUUUACCUACGCUUAGGAUGUUGACUGAUAUGUAGUCGUA